rnacentral:lncRNA from 1 species
CACACAGCAAUAGCACAGCCUGUGCCCUGCUGGGAGGUGGCUGACACCACAGUGAUGGACUCCACUGCCCCAUGUUCCUCCUGCCAGUGCUGCCCAGAGCACUGCCAGCAGUGCAUCCUCCCCGUCUCACCCAGCCCAGAUCUCACAUUUCUCUUCUCAUCCCAGAACUGAUGCCUCAGGCUCUGGGCUCUCUCCACCCCUUGAUGUUGGUGCCCCAUGGUCUGUCAGUCAGUGGGGCAGAACAUGGGGCAGGAGGCAGCACAUGGCUCUGUUUCUGUGCCCCAGGACACCAACACCCCCAGCACCCCCAGCCCUGCCUGGAGGCAUCUCCCCCCCAGGACCACUGGGGAAAGACCCACCUCUGCGCCGAGCCCUGGCACUUCGCACCUGCCCAGCCAGGAGGGCCAGGAGCAGGCAGAGGAGGGCCCCCAGGAUGAUGCAGAUGACGACAGACACUGAGAGUCCCUCUCUGGUGGUGGUCGGACGGCCCCGUGGGGGAUCUGCAAGGGCAGGAACAUGGCAGGGGCAGCAAGGGAGAGGUUGGGGGUGGGACAAGGUAGCGCUGACCACAAAAAGCAGCAGGGGCUGGGGGGGACAGAGCUGGGUGAUGGGGCAGCUCCCACCCUGCUGGGUCCAUCACAGACUUCUCCCAGCUCCCUUGAUUUCCUGGGAGUCUCACAGCCCAGCAAGGAGCCCUUUCUCCUGGCUGUGGGUCACAGCGUGGACAUGGACAGACCCAGCCCUGGGGAAGGACAGCUUACCUGUUUGUGGGGGGGAUGUUGCUGUCCUGGGUGCAGCUGCAGGGGAGCAGAAGGAGAGCUGGGCUGAGAGGCUGGGGCUGUGGCACCAGGCAGCCUCCCUGGCAAAUGACCCCAGCAUGUACCACCUGAAUUGUCCCUCCUUUGGGGCUGGGCAGGGUGGAAGGGACAGGGCCCAGCACCACUGCUCUGGGCUGCUCACAGGACAGUGCAGGCAGCCCAGGGGAUGUGCUGGCACAUCCAGCCCCACAGAGGCUGCUCCCCACCCACCACCAGCCCCCCACUCUGCAGGGACAACCUUGCUCAGGCCUGCACCAGGGCCAUGCCAGGAUCCAGCAGGGCAUACACUCAAUUCAGCUCCUUGCCAAGCCACCAGCCAUGUCUCCCAGCCCCACUGCUCACCUGAGCAAUGCACAGCCGCAUCUGCCUUAUGCUGGCAGGCACUGCUGUCCCCUGGCUGGGCCCAGCAGUCCUGCAGAGACAGCUCCGUCCCCCUGCACUCCAUCAGCCACAUGGGGCCCGUCCCCUCUCCAGCAGCAGCCUGGCCCAGGGCAUAGACGGCGGGGCCACAGCCCAGCUGCCUGCACGCCACCUCGGCGUCCCGCAUGUCCCAGGCAUUGUCACACAGCGUCCCCCAGGUGCCACGGUGCCAGA